ACCCGCUGAACUUAAGCAUAUCACUAAGCGGAGGAAAAGAAAAUAACCAUGAUUCCCCCAGUAACGGCGAGUGAACGGGGAAAAGCCCAGCACCGAAUCCCUCGGCAUGUGUCGUUGGGACCUGUGGUGUGUAGGAGAGCACGUCUGAAGUUAUCGCGGUUCCUAAGUUCCCUUGACCGGGACCACAGCCCAUAGAAGGUGAAAGGCCUGUGCGGACAGCGGUGGCAUCAGUUUGGGCCUCCUUGGAGUCGGAUUGCUUGAAAGUGCAGUCCAAAGUGGGAGGUAAACCUCUCCUAUGGCUAAAUAUAACCACGAGACCGAUAGCAAACAAGUACCGCGAGGGAAAGUUGCAAAGAACUUUGAAGAGAGAGUUCAAGAGGGCGUGAAACCGCUUAGAAGCAAACGGAUGGAGCGGACGUUAGUCUCUGGGAUUCAGCCUAAUGGGCGUGGGGCGCGUGGUUUGCCUGCUCUUAUUCAGACGGGCGGCUGUGUUGUCUCUGCGUUCAUGGGUGCAUUUCUCGGGGAUCGCGCCAAAGGCAGUGAGGGUGUCGCGUUGGCCUCGAGUUGGUGGCCUGUUGUUUCGGCAAUGGGUGUCUCGCUUGGGUGUCCGGUGCGGUCGCUUUUACUGUGAUGGAAAGAGUGCCCGCCUCUAGCUUGAGACUGCUGGCAUUUGCGUUGACGUGGCUUGGUUCCGGUUUCUGGACCCGGCUCGUUGAUGUUGGUGUAGGUGGUAUCUCGAGUGGCGCUCGGCUUUGGUGUUUUGUCUGUUACCCAUCCGACCCGUCUUGAAACACGGACCAAGGAGUCUAACAUGGGCGCGAGUUACUGGGUUGCAAAACCUAAGAGCGUAAUGAACGUAAAGGCUGGCUCUGGUCAGCUGACAUGGGAUCCGUGGCUUCGGCUGCGGCGCACCAUGGUCCCGCCCUGACUGCAUUGUCAGUGGGGCGGAGAUAGAGCGUGCAUGUUGGGACCCGAAAGAUGGUGAACUUUGCCUGAACAGGAUGAAGCCAGAGGAAACUCUGGUGGAAGUCCGUAGAGGUUCUGACGUGCAAAUCGAUCUUCAGAUUUGGGUAAAGGGGCGCAAGACUAAUCGAACUAUCUAGUAGCUGGUUCCCUCCGAAGUUUCCCUCAGGAAAGG
rnacentral:rRNA from 1 species